GCAUCAGUGGUUCAGUGAUAGAAUUCUUGCCUUCUAUGCGGGAUACCUGGGCUCGAUUUCCAACUGAUACA
rnacentral:tRNA from 1 species